GCGAACGCUGGCGGUAUGCUUAACACAUGCAAGUCGAGCGCGAAAGUGACUUCGGUCAUGAGUAGAGCGGCGGACGGGUGAGUAACACGUGGAUAAUCUGCCUUUAGGACUGGGAUAACCCUGGGAAACUAGGGCUAAUACCGGAUAAGACCACAGGUUCCAUGGAACCAGGGGUAAAAGGCGGCCUUCGGGCUGUCGCCGAAAGAUGAGUCCGCGUCCCAUCAGGUAGUUGGUGAGGUAACGGCUCACCAAGCCGAAGACGGGUAGCCGACCUUAGCGGGUGAUCGGCCACACGGGGACUGAGACACGGCCCCGACUCCUACGGGAGGCAGCAGUGGGGAAUCUUGGGCAAUGGGCGCAAGCCUGACCCAGCAAUACCGCGUGAGGGAUGAA
rnacentral:rRNA from 1 species